AUUUUUCCUUUUUUAUUUUUCAUAUUUAUUUGGUUGUUUUAAAUUCCUAUUAAAAGAUAUUCACUCGGUCAUCUUUAAAUGUAGUGUAAAUUUUGAUCAUGGUUGUUUGUGUUGUGUGUCUUGUAUGACGAUGUGCAUUUUUUGUUGGGCCUUCCUUGGGGCGCGGUCUGGGUGUUCUAUUUUGGAUUGGUUUUGUCAAUUCUCAUCUAGAGGAGAGUUAAUAAUGUCUCGUCUAAUUAUUCAUACGCCGUUAGCUAUACGUGUUUCUAAGCCGUGGUGAUCGUUAACAUUCGG
rnacentral:lncRNA from 1 species